rnacentral:rRNA from 1 species
UACGUAGGGGCCUAGCGUUGUCCGGAUUUAUUGGGCGUAAAGAGCUCGUAGGCGGCGCGGUAAGUCGGGUGUGAAAUCUCGGAGCUUAACUCCGAAACUGCAUUCGAUACUGCCGUGCUUGAGGACUGGAGAGGAGACUGGAAUUUACGGUGUAGCGGUGAAAUGCGUAGAUAUCGUAAGGAAGACCAGUGGCGAAGGCGGGUCUCUGGACAGUUCCUGACGCUGAGACACGAAGGCCAGGGGAGCAAACGGG